UACGGGGGGGGCAAGCGUUGUUCGGAAUUACUGGGAGUAAAGGGCUUGUAGGUGGCCAACUAAGUCAGACGUGAAAUCCCUCGGCUUAACCGGGGAACUGCGUCUGAUACUGGAUGGCUGGAGUGUGGGAGAGGGAUGCGGAAUUCCAGGUGUAGCGGUGAAAUGCGUAGAUAUCUGGAGGAACACCGGUGGCGAAGGCGGCAUCCUGGACCAUUACUGACACUGAAAAGCGAAAGCCAGGGGAGCAAACGGG
rnacentral:rRNA from 1 species